rnacentral:ribozyme from 16 species
UGUUUUUGGUGUUUUUUUUUUUUUUUUUUAAUCAUUCUGCAUAUUUGGGCAUUUUGAACAGAGAUCUGGUGGUGGGUGUUUCAUGU